GCCUACGGGGCGCAGCAGUAGGGAAUCUUCCACAAUGGGCGCAAGCCUGAUGGAGCAACGCCGCGUGAAUGAAGAAGGUCUUCGGAUCGUAAAAUUCUGUUGUUAGAGAAGAAUAUGAGUAAUGGUAACUGAUUAUUCACUGACGGUAUCUAACCAGCAAGUCACGGCUAACUACGUGCCAGCAGCCGCGGUAAUACGUAGGUGGCAAGCGUUGUCCGGAUUUAUUGGGCGUAAAGGGAACGCAGGCGGCUUUUUAAGUCUGAUGUGAAAGCCUUCGGCUUAACCGGAGAUGUGCAUUGGAAACU
rnacentral:rRNA from 1 species